UACGAAGGGGGCGAGCGUUGUUCGGAUUUACUGGGCGUAAAGGGCGCGCAGGCGGCCUCGCAAGUCGAGUGUGAAAGCCCCGGGCUCAACCUGGGAAUUGCGCUCGAGACUGUGGUGCUGGAGUUCGGGAGAGGAGCGUGGAAUUCCCAGUGUAGAGGUGAAAUUCGUAGAUAUUGGGAAGAACACCGGUGGCGAAGGCGGCGCUCUGGACCGAGACUGACGCUGAGGCGCGAAGGCGUGGGGAGCAAACAGG
rnacentral:rRNA from 1 species